GUCUUCGUGGUGUAGUGGUCAGCACGCUCGACGCGCAUUCGAGAGGUUCGUGGUUCGAGCCCCGGCGAGGGCA
rnacentral:tRNA from 1 species